rnacentral:rRNA from 1 species
AUUGAACGCUGGCGGCAUGCUUUACACAUGCAAGUCGAACGGUAACAGGCCUUCGGGUGCUGACGAGUGGCGAACGGGUGAGUAAUGCAUCGGAACGUGCCCAGAGGUGGGGGAUAACGCAGCGAAAGCUGUGCUAAUACCGCAUGUGAUCUGAGGAUGAAAGCGGGGGACCAGGCAGCAAUGUUUGGCCUCGCGCCUUUGGAGCGGCCGAUGUCAGAUUAGGUAGUUGGUGGGGUAAAGGCCUACCAAGCCGACGAUCUGUAGCUGGUCUGAGAGGACGACCAGCCACACUGGGACUGAGACACGGCCCAGACUCCUACGGGAGGCAGCAGUGGGGAAUUUUGGACAAUGGGCGCAAGCCUGAUCCAGCAAUGCCGCGUGCGGGAAGAAGGCCUUCGGGUUGUAAACUCCUUUCGCUAGGGACGAAGCUUUUUGUGACGGUACCUAGAUAAGAAGCACCGGCUAACUACGUG